GUUCAUUAUAUUUAUUCUUUAUAUGAUAACACCUCAUUUUUUUCAAUCCUUUAUUUUUUUUUGGUCCAUUUUUCUCUAUUCUUUAUAUGUUUUGCUUUCCCGUAAACGUCAUCCAAACCCUUUAUGUAUUAAGUGUCAUUGAAUUUUAAUUUCAACUUACGACGACAAUAUAGCAUGUAAAUUAAGCACUCGAAAUGCUGAUUUUUAGUCUACUUAUAUAGAUAACAGGUUCUAAUUAAAAAGAUGUCAAAU
rnacentral:lncRNA from 1 species